AGGACCAGCACUCCACAAACUGGUGUUGGUAGAGCAACUGGUGAUUUGGGACGUCUUUUCCAGAGAUUGACUGGACAUUCAUCUCCAUUAUUUGAUGAAGAAGAAAACUCAUCAAGGGAGAUCACUAUCAAUCUCAUGCCGAUAGUGGAAAAUCCCAUUCAAGAUGAACCACC